rnacentral:rRNA from 1 species
CCUACGGGAGGCAGCAGUAAGGAAUAUUGGACAAUGGUCGCAAGACUGAUCCAGCCAUGCCGCGUGCAGGAUGACAGCCCUAUGGGUCGUAAACUGCUUUUGUGCGAGAAAAAACCCCUCUACGUGUAGAGGGCUGAUUGUAUCGUAAGAAUAAGGAUCGGCUAACUCCGUGCCAGCAGCCGCGGUAAUACGGAGGAUCCAAGCGUUAUCCGGAUUCAUUGGGUUUAAAGGGUGCGUAGGCGGAAUGAUAAGUCAGUGGUGAAAGCCUGCAGCUUAACUGCAGAACUGCCAUUGAUACUGUCAUUCUUGAGUACAUUUGAUGUGGCGGAAUGUGUCAUGUAGCGGUGAAAUGCUUAGAUAUGACACAGAACACCGAUUGCGAAGGCAGCUCACAAACUGUAACUGACGCUGAGACGACGAAGACGGUAGGUAGUACAACGAAGUAAGUAAGUACUACCGUACGGUACGUACCGUACGUACGUACGUUAAACUAAUAGUAUUACUACGUAGUUGUUGUACGAGUACAC